AGUGAACGCUGGCGGUAGGCCUAACACAUGCAAGUCGAACGGCAGCACAGGAGAGCUUGCUCUCUGGGUGGCGAGUGGCGGACGGGUGAGGAAUACAUCGGAAUCUACUUUUUCGUGGGGGAUAACGUAGGGAAACUUACGCUAAUACCGCAUACGACCUACGGGUGAAAGCAGGGGACCUUCGGGCCUUGCGCGAUUGAAUGAGCCGAUGUCGGAUUAGCUAGUUGGCGGGGUAAAGGCCCACCAAGGCGACGAUCCGUAGCUGGUCUGAGAGGAUGAUCAGCCAGAAUGGAACUGGGACACGGUCCAGACUCCUACGGGAGGCAGCAGUGGGGGAUAUUGGACAAUGGGCGCAAGCCUGAUCCAGCCAUACCGCGUGGGUGAAGAAGGCCUUCGGGUUGUAAAGCCCUUUUGUUGGGAAAGAAAUCCAGCUGGCUAAUACCCGGUUGGGAUGACGGUACCCAAAGAAUAAGCACCGGCUAACUUCGUGCCAGCCGCCGCGGUAA
rnacentral:rRNA from 1 species